ACACGCAUGACACACUGCAUAUCAAUAAGCGGAGGAAAAGAAACUAACAAGGAUUCCCUUAGUAACGGCGAGUGAAGCGGGAAGAGCUCAAAUUUGAAAUCUUCAAGGUUCUACCUUGACGAAUUGUAGUUUAAAGAAGUGUUUUCUGUUGAAGUUUUGGUAAAAGUUCUUUGGAAUAGGACAUCAUAGAGGGUGAGAAUCCCGUAUUUGACCAUUAUUUUCAGCUGUGUGAUACACUCUCGAAGAGUCGGAUUGUUUGGGAAUGCAGUCCAAAAUGGGUGGUAAAUUUCAUCUAAAGCUAAAUAUUGGCGAGAGACCGAUAGCGAACAAGUACCGUGAGGGAAAGAUGAAAAGAACUUUGAAAAGAGAGUUAAACAGUACGUGAAAUUGUCAAAAGGGAAGCGUUUGACACCAGUGUUGUUUUCUCGAAAAUCAAUUAAAAAUGAUGGGAUUUUGUGUUGUAUUGACUUUAUCAGCUUUCUGCACUUUUUUCCUGUCUUUUUAAUGCACUUUUCGUUUAACAAGUCAACAUCAAUUUCUUUUGCUGUAAAAGAGUCAUUGGAAGGUGGCUUUCUUUUCGGAGAAAGUGUUUAUAGCCUUUGACUUCUGCAGUCGGAGAGAUUGAGGUCUGCAGCGUAGAUCCUUCGGGGUUAGAUACAUUUGUGCUAAGCUAUAGCCUUUCAUAGACAACUUGUUGACUAUGAUCAGUCAUGUAGCUUACUCGCUUAUGCUAUUUUACCUACGCUUAGGAUGUUGAGCGCAUGUCUCUCUCU
rnacentral:rRNA from 1 species